AUGAAGAAGAAAAAAGCACAAACUUCAAAAGAAGAAGACAAAGUAGUCGCCGGGAGAUCCGGCCUGACUGCUCAGCAGUCGGCCCGAAUCUCGGGGCUACACCCAGCGGAUGCGCUGACGCGCCCCCACGAGAAAGAAGACGAAGUAGUUGCCGGGAGAUCCGGCCCGACUGCUCAGCAGUCAGCCCGAAUCUCGGGGGCUACACCCAGUGGGUGCGCUGACGCGCCCCCACAGAAGAUUGCAAGAAACGAAAACAAGAGAAGAGUUUUGUCCGGCUGCCAGCAGCCGGCAGAAGAAGAAAAAGGGUGA
rnacentral:rRNA from 1 species